CUUUACCGCGUCCUCCAGCAGCGUCUCAGGAAUAUAUGGAUAAAAUGAACCUAACCAGUAAGGUGUUCAUUCCCACUCUCUACGGCUUGCAUGUCCAGUCUCAGGAUUACAGGUGUGCAACUCUCGGUGAUGCCUAGAAACAUGGCACCAGAUGCAAGGUGAAAAAUGGAUGACCAUAUGAAAGCACAUCAAAAAAAGUUCUCAUUACCACUCUCUACAGCUUCCAUGUCCAGUCUCAGAAUUACAGGUGUGCAACUCUCGGUGAUGCCUAGAAACAUGGCACCAGAUGCAAGGCAAAAUGGAUGACCGGAUGAAAGCACAUCAAUAAAAUUGACCUGAACUGCAACCAUUACACCCUGACUAGUGCAGAAGUAACUGGAAAUUGCAUGGUACGUCUCACUAUAGAAGUGUGGUCUUGCUUCACGAUAUUGUGAACCAGUUUCUUGGUACAAAAUAAAAUUUUGA